rnacentral:rRNA from 1 species
AUACGGAGGGGGUUAGCGUUGUUCGGAAUUACUGGGCGUAAAGCGCACGUAGGCGGAUUGGAAAGUUGGGGGUGAAAUCCCAGGGCUCAACCCUGGAACUGCCUCCAAAACUAACAGUCUAGAGUUCGAGAGAGGUGAGUGGAAUUCCAAGUGUAGAGGUGAAAUUCGUAGAUAUUUGGAGGAACACCAGUAGCGAAGGCGGCUCACUGACUCGAUACUGACGCUGAGGUGCGAAAGCGUGGGGAGCAAACAGGAUUAGAAACCCUAGUAGUCC